GUGUGUGUGUGGGGAGGGGUGGUACACACACUCGACAUUUUAAAAGGCACUUGAACAUCUUAAUUACUCUUAUUCUAUUUUUGGCUUUGAGCCACUUCACAUCUGAUGCCACAUCUGAUUUUGUUCCGACAACCUGAUGUAUGAGCCUCUUUGCUCCACAGAAGGGGAAACCAACACCCACCCAGGAGAACCACGGGGAGUGCGCGGCAUGACCCUGCAGGGCCUCGGUACAUCUUUAGGCAUGCGCUAUGAGACGGCUGACUAUGCUGGCGUUGGAGUGACUUCCGGCCAACUCCUAGCAAAGAGGAAAGGUGUGAACUGACAGCUGCUGGAUCGAGUCCAAUUCCCUGCCUUCCUAUCUAUACCAAUCGAUUUCCAAAACACCUCAAGAAAAUUAAGACAAGCCUUUCUCCCCCCUUCAUCACUGCAUAGAAGCUUAUAUCUAUUCAUCUGUCAUGGACAAGACAUUAAAUGACACGCAUUCUGAUGUCCAGAGUAAGAAGGAGUGGAGGGGCAGUGCCAACUCUACCUAAUGGCUGUGUGGCUCUGGUACAUAUGCAGCCACUCUCUGAGCUUCUGUUACCUUGCCUAUGAUGGAGGAUGACAACACUUCCAUUGCAAAAUGGCAGGGACUACGGAAAGAGAAUAUACCCAUGGAGACACCUAUGGCUUGUGAGGGAUGCUCCGAAUGCCUAUGUCAACCACAGGGAUGGUUCGAGUCCAUUGCCAGUGAUUUCUCCCGGCUGUGGCUCAAGUCACUGCUCAGCAGCAGUGCUGUCUAUGAGGUCCACGACCCAUCUGUCCUGGGAUUGAGCACCCUCCCCACGUCAAUUUAAAAACAUUUGUACGUGUGAAAAAAUAAAUCACCCUACCUAGUGUCCACGUGUUAAAAGGCA